CAAUAGCGUAUAUUAAAGUUGUUGCAGUUAAAAAGCUCGUAGUUGGAUUUCUGGUUGAAGCGACCGGUCGGGCGUUGAUUCGUCUGCACUGGAGUCGGUUUUGGCCAUCCUCUAGGAAAGUGCGUCUGGUAUUAAGUUAUCGGGCGUAUGAUCCUGGUCUUUUACUGUGAAAAAAUUAGAGUGUUUAAAGCAGGCCUUCGCCUUGAAUACAUUAGCAUGGAAUAGUAAGAUAGGACUUUGGUCUAUUUUGUUGGUUUGCAGACCGAAGUAAUGAUUAAUAGGGAUAGUUGGGGGUAUUUAUAUUCCGAUGUCAGAGGUGAAAUUCUUAGAUUUUCGGAAGAUAAACUUAUGCGAAAGCAUUUACCAAGGAUGUUUUCAUUAA
rnacentral:rRNA from 1 species